UACUGCUGUCUGAGAAAGAUCUCUAUAUAAAUAUCGGACGAUCGAGAUUUAUCUAUACUACUGAAAUAUUAAUUAGUAGUAUGAGGUUGCAUAUCAUUAGGGUAAUAUGAGAAAGAUGAUAUAUGUCACCUUCAUUUAUUUUUUUCAGUUUCUUUCUCUUUCCUUUUCAUUUCUUCUUGAUCCGUUCCCCCAUCUCACGCUGCUCGGCUCGGCGCCUAGAGUUUCCAGGCCCGGCGACGAGUCCCGUUCGCCGUCGUGGAGGAGGCGCGUGCCACGCCCUACACUUGGCCCCUGGGUGGAGGGCGGGCAGCGGCUCGCCCCCACGGCUGACGCUCGCCGCCGGGAAUGCAUCCAUGGCUGCGGAUCCCCGCGUCCGUUGCUCGCCGCCGGGGAGGUGGCGCAUCCCGCACCCGACGCAAGGCCCCUGGGAGGAGGGCAGGCAGCGGCUCGCCCCCACGGCCGCCGCUCGUCGCCGGGGAGGCAUCCGUGUGGCGGCGGAUCCGCGCCCAACGCUCAUCCCCUUGGAGGAAGGAUGGCAGGUGGCUCACCACCACAUAUUUUGUUUCUGCGAAUCGUUGAUUAUUCCUGGUUUUGUGUGCAGUUAAGGAGGACUACAGCAGAUUUAAGUGCUCUCAGCUACAUGGGCGCUGAUGUGUUCAUCCUGAAGAUAAGUUCCCCAUCCUGCUGUUUACCUGUUUCCAUUGUAUGAGAUAUAUGUGACUGUCUAUACUUGAGAGUAAACUUCACUGUUGAAGAAUUGAAGAGAGAGAUUUCUGAUCAUGAUGCAGAGAAAUAGGUCUGUUAUUCUUCUCGUUUUGUUAUCUCUGUAGUCUGAUGACCUCUCUGAAGGUGCUCACUCUAGGUUUGUGGCGGCUGCUUUAUGUCAUCUCCUUUAUUUCACUCUGUUUUUUGAAGCGAAAAAAGUUGGACCAAUCAUUCAUAUUUGUGCCAUUGAGUAAAUAGAGCCAUUAAGCUUACUCAUUAAGCUUACUGAACGUACUGUCAAUUUCUGACAUGUACUCCUGUAUUCAUUGGUGCUACUGGUUUUCAGGUUCGGAAAGCUGCCUUACUAUUGGCUGACUUUGUUUUGCACUAAAGCUUUACAUCGUCCAUCUUUGAUGGUGUUACUGCCAUAAGGUCCUGCAUGCGGAGGUAAAGAAGACUCACAGGACCUGUAGAUGUGGCUUGCUUCUUGAUAUGUACAUGCUGUUCUUGUGAAAUUAUGUACAAACAGGAAAUUCAGAACUUGAGCUUUGUGAUGCUAUGUAAAAGUUGACUUACAGUGCUUUGAAUA